rnacentral:tRNA from 1 species
GAUUCUUUAACUUAAAUGGUAAAGUACGUUUUUGAUAAGGAUGUGAUCUAAGUUCAAGUCUUAGAAGAAUCA